GGAAGAUAUGUUCCUUUUGCCCAGGUUUAGAGAGGCACUGUUUACAGCCAUGCAGAUACAAUUCUACCAUUGGGGGUUUUCUAAUGGAGUCAUUUGGAAUUGACAUGUAACGAAUGUUGGGGUUUAUCUUUUGAGCUCCUGACCCAAACUCCUUUUUCAAGCAAGAUUUCUCUCAAAGCCUCUUUCCUAUCUGAGGUGAAGGGGACUGGGCCUUAAGUAGAAAUUCAAAACAAGGUCAAGGACUUUGUGGUAGGGAUAUUUAAAAAAAAAUCCCCUCUAAGACAAACAUGUGUUAAUAGAAUUAAAAAAUAUCCAACCUAGUUCCCGGGGCUGUCAGGAUCUUGACAUCAUUUGUAUUGUCACUUAAACUAGGACACAGAACCCUUCAUUAUUGGGAGUUUACGGUGAGAUUUUGGGAGAUUUGCAUUGUAUUUCUGUCUUGGAAUUGUCAGUAUGGAAAGAUUUCUUUGUGGGCUGUUCAUCUUGAUACAUACAGGCUUCCCCCCGGGGUCCACUUUUGCAUUUUUUGGAUUCAAGGUCUCUUUCGAGGAAUGAAGCUAAUGCUCUUAUGACUUGGAGACUGAUUUCAGGGAAUGCACGGGAAUGAUCAGGCACUUACUUGCAUCUUAAUGUAGGAAACAGAACUUCCUAAGUAGUCCCCAGAGUUUGUGGCUUUGACCAGGCCACCUGGUCUUUCCUGGUUCCCUUGAUUGCAUUUGCUUAUUACUCCUCUGCCAGGCACACGUGACCUGGGCUGACUCAACGCUUCUGUGGAAAGGAAUGGAUCCAACCAUUUUCAUACAUCAAAACUCAGAUUUGGCAAUUUUGCUUUGGUUAGACUACAGGAUUCUAUUGUUCCCAAAUCUUAAAAACGUAAUGGAUGUCUAAGAGGACUUUUAGCAAAACCCUCAUUCAAAAUGUAAGACCUUCUAUAUAAGGUCUUAAUAAAACUUCUCCUCAUCCUGUAGACAAGGACUGCUGGGUUGGUAUCCUUUCCUCUGAAGUAAUAUUCUGUUGUGGCCGGAAAUGAGCAAUUAGCCUCAUUUGGUCACUACAAACGUUCAUUGGAGUCCACAAGCAAUUUCAAUAAAGCAAGUCAAGGUCCUGCCUUAGGAGAUUGUCUUUAGACUCUGGACUUUAAGACUGAACAGUGAUGUGGAAUUAUGUUUGGGGGCUAGGAGAAAAGAUCCAUGCAAAGAGCAGUGCUUACCGAGGGUCCCCAUGGAAGAGCAAGCUGAUAAAAGAAGCUGGCAGUCAGGUGUAUUCCAUAACUCAUUUUCAGUAUUACCAUGGACAUGAUCUCCUAUGGGAAAGCCUAGCAAAAAGCCAAACGUUAAUUUUUUUUCCUUAAAAAUACUGAAUUCUAAAGAAGAUUCAGAGAGCAGUACUGAUUUGGAUCUCAGAAAAUUUUGUUUCCUUAGUAUUACUGAUUCUACAGAGUUACCAAUUUAAACUGAUGACACCCAGGGGAAAAAAAAAGAUAAAUGAUUAAUGGCAUCACAGCAUUUUGUGAGUAUACAACCCAUUCGUCAGCUACCCACAGGGUAAAGAAAUAUGUACACAAAACUAAGCCCCUUAAUUUUUCAUUCUGGUGGCUGACGUGGACAGAAAGGUGGACACCAAAGUUUAUCUGGUGUGCAAACUUUGUCCACAAGGCAGAGGACUGUGAAUGUUCUGAGGAAAACACUACAGAUCUUCAUCCGAAGGGGAGAAUUUAUAAUCUUAAAACAUAACACUCGAAGCUAGUUUGAAUUUUCAGAAGCAGUGCAUUGUGUGAGGAAAGUAGUUUUAUUUUCUUCUGAACUCAAAUCGUCUGACCUAGUGUGUGUGUUCAUAGUGUGUGUUCAGUACUUGGGGAGAGAGGUGUCGCGAGCACAGAAGUGGUUUCCAGAUUAUGUUCAGUGUUACCCCUUGGAGGUCUCUUGUCCAGAAGGGAAGGAGAAAACUAUGUGAUGAAGGAUGGAGAGUGUGAUGCCCAUCUGAAAACCCCAUCAACCUCUAAUCAGAGUACUUGGCUACCAUUAUCAUUCCCCUUAACUGGAAAUUCUCUGUGGCUAUUAAAAGUUUGGGAACUUGGGUUGAAAUGACUCCUGGAAGACCUGCCAAAGAAUCUGGGAAAUAGUAGCCAACCAUGUCUGUAUGGCCCUGGCUUCUGCUAUAUUCAGGAUGCUAACAGGGCUUGGCGGCAGAAGGGCAAAAAGAGAGGUGGCCAUUUAUUUAAAUUUUUAAGCAUGACUCCUCUGAAAGAAAAUGCACAAAUCAAUACGUGAUGGCCAUGCACACAGACUCUUAAAUUGCUUAGUUUUCUAAAGUGAUUGCAGAUAACCUGGUCUCAGUGGUAAAGAGGAGCGAGACUGGGCUCUUGAUGGGCGGUGGAGUAUCCAAAUUUCUUCAUUUGCAGAGGCAGGAGUUGUAAUUUUUGUUCAUUGACGUGUAGGAAAAAGUACAGUUUUGGCAGAGAGAGGGGUCCUAUGUGAGAGUCAAGCUGACGAUUAUCCUCACUGGGUUUCACAGGUGGAGAACAGUAGGGGGAAGCCAGGGCAGCCUUUGGAAGCUGAAAACGGGUGGGUUAUCUGUUGUGAGCUCUACACAGGGCAAUUCUUAGGCAUUGAUGGAAACAUCAGGUGCUUUCUACACACACACAUACGGUCUGUGGCAGCUUCUGAUCGUGGAACUUGAGCUGCUAAAACCAAAUUUAACAGGGGAGGUUUUCCAGCAGCCAAUUUAGAACUCUAUGUGUCAGAAAGUUACAUUUGGCAACCGUUUGCUGAGUUCUUGGCCAAUCUCUGUGUAAAAAACCACCUGAGGAGGUUCAAUUAAGAAAAUUCAGACAAUUUAUCUGUCAUCAUACCCCUGUGUUUAGUUUCUUUUUCAGUCUCAAAUUUAUUUUCUGAGUGGAGUGAUUUCCUAUAUGAACUGAAAUGAUGAACUGAUGUUUUAGUAAAAUAACAGGUAUUUUUUUUUUUACAGGAAAAAAAGGUCUUCUCUAUGUCAUUAACUUCCAUAAUUGGAACUUAUUUCCUACUGUACAGAAUCAUCACAUUAGGUCAUUUAAAGCUGAGAAAGGUGUUAGGGAUGCAGUUCAAAUUCUUUAUUUAAAUACACAUACAUGUUUCUGUAUAUUUUGUGUAAAUCCUGACAGGAUGCUGGAUGUAACUUCUGUACAGAAUUGAACUUUACAAGAAUUUUAGUAAAAUAGGCGGGCUGCCCCAGAUUCCUUCGUGCUUUUGUUUCAUCUUGGAAAAUGCUGCUUCCGGUUAUUUAAUCUGGUCUUUGUAAGGAAAACACACACACACACACACACACACCCCCCCCCCUUACAUUGUGUGGAUUUUAUAAUAGACCAUUUUUAUUUGUAUAUAUGCUUGUUUUCCUGUGCUGACCCCCACAUUUGUUUGUAAGCCAUGUUUAUUGUGAAGAUAGCUAUUGGGCAAGUGGAAACAUGCCUGGUCUUUACAAUCCCCUGAUGCUAAGAAAAAAGUAAUUCCAUAUGUUAGGAGGCCCUGCAAUCUCUUCCUAAUACCUGAAAUAUUAUGAAAGGAUAUGUGAGAGGUUGUGCACCUCAAUCAUUUGAAACUGAUCUCUAACACUGUCUCUGGAAAGUGUAAAAUAGCAGAAUGACUACCAUUUUAUGGAUUCCUUCAUCGAUGGACUCUCCCAUCUUUCUUGCUAUGUAUAACGUGAUGCUAGCUCUCCUUGGUGGGAAUCAUCUCUUCUUCAUAGAUGGCAAUAUCUUCUCUUUAUGAAUGAAUCAGACUGAACUGUCCAGUAUGGAAUUCAUUAGAAGUUCAUAGAGUAAAGACCUCUGAAGGAUGUGGGGGGCUGGAGGGGAUGUUCCAUGCCUAUGAGGUGAAUGUGAAAUUGAUGCUUUGGCCCUGGGAACUUUUUGCUCAUAAGCUGCAGAGGCAAAGAAGUCGGGGAGUAUGUACUUCAUUCUCUUUUCCUAUAAGGAAAUGUGUGGGGCUGCUCUCUUAAGGCAAAAACAUUUCUCACCAUUGUCUGGCAAAGGGAAAUUAUGAAUAUCAGUUGAUAACUUCAGUCAAGCUCUAGGACUGUACUUAAAAAUACCUGUGUUGUGGGGAAGCAUGCCUUUUGUUGUCUUUGCCGUAUUGGCUUUGGUGGCCACCAUGCAUUUUUAUUUUAGCUUAGUUUUCCUGUUAUCCAGGUUGUGUGCAUUGUUGUUGCUGUUGUUGUUUUCUCUCUCUCUUUUUUUUUAAAUAUUUUUUUGCUGUUGUUGUUUUAUUUUGAACUACUGCUCAUCAUAAGUGGUGAUGUUAUCUCAAAAUCCUGACACCAAGGAAAUAGCUAAUGCGCAGGACUUGGGGUAGAUGAAAGCAUCGGUGUUGAUGUAGGUUACGUUUUGGCAGAGUUAGCAGAAAUAUACUGAACUGAGGGGGAUAAUGUGGCUUUGAAGACACCAUGUUUGUUUUUAACAUUUGGAGAAGCCACCUGUCCUGGGUCCUUAUUCGUGGGAAAUUCAUCCUUUCAUGCAAAUACCAUUGGCAGGGCAUACUUAACAGCCUGGAUGCCUGGAUAACAGCAUCACAUCAGUCAGUAAACAAGGAAUUCUAAUAAUUCCCAAAGGUGGGGGUAAUUUUGCCUCUUAUAGAUCAUUCUGUGGUGAAGUUUCCAAUCACGGCAUCUUGUAAAAACUGUAACGUUAUUAUUUUCCUUCUCUUUUCUGAUCUAAGAGCACAGUAAAGGAAAAGUAAAGUUCUGAUGUGAUACAAAAUAGUUCAUUGACUCUGUGUUUUUGACCAAGUAAAUGGCUGAGAUGUUGAACUAAGUGGUUGUUACAUGGUUCACAUGGUGACCUCAAAAGGAAAAUGAAAUUGGGACAUUAAGUCAAACUUGGACUCCUCUGUUGAUGAGGAGCUUAACUUUGAUUUCCUAUCUCAGGAUAUUCUUCAGUUUCAUACUGCUGCUGAGGAGGAAGGAGCAAGCCGCAGACACUGUAACGGUCUCCGGAUGUUUGUGCGUGUGUAUGCAAAACUUCACACUGUGUGUGUUGUGUUCAAUGUUGUGUCAAUCUAUGAACUGACUCAAACAACAAUUUGAAGAUACAGAAGACAAGAAUAAUGGCAAAAGACACCCAUCCACCUCUUUUUGUCAGAGUGCUUGCUAUGACCUUCAUAGCUAGGACAAAUACCAUAACAUAUUCAGGAGCAAGGUGUCCUUGAAAGAAAUGGUGUGUUGAUCUCAUAAGAAAAUGUACAACCAAUAAAAAGACA
rnacentral:lncRNA from 1 species